rnacentral:ncRNA from 1 species
AAAUUUAUUGCCAAACCCUGGGAAACCUGGGGACGGAAAGCCACGGGACUAACUCCUAAAAUCACCCAGUCAGCCGGGUUGCUGGAA